AGGACGAACGCUGGCGGCGUGCUUAACACAUGCAAGUCGAGCGAACCUUCGGGUUAGCGGCGAACGGGUGAGUAACACGUGGGCAACCUGCCCCAGACUUUGGAAUAACUCCGGGAAACCGGGGCUAAUGCCGAAUAUUCACGCUUCCGGGCAUCUGGUUGUGUGGAAAGAUUUAUCGGUCUGGGAUGGGCCCGCGGCCUAUCAGCUUGUUGGUGGGGUGACGGCCUACCAAGGCGACGACGGGUAGCCGGCCUGAGAGGGCGAUCGGCCACACUGGGACUGAGACACGGCCCAGACUCCUACGGGAGGCAGCAGUGGGGAAUCUUGCGCAAUGGGCGAAAGCCUGACGCAGCGACGCCGCGUGAGGGAUGACGGCCUUCGGGUUGUAAACCUCUUUCAGCAGGGACGAAGCGAAGUGACGGUACCUGCAGAAGAAGCACCGGCCAACUACGUGCCAGCAGCCGC
rnacentral:rRNA from 1 species